rnacentral:rRNA from 1 species
GAUGAACGCUGGCGGCGUGCUUAACACAUGCAAGUCGAACGAUGAAGCCCAGCUUGCUGGGUGGAUUAGUGGCGAACGGGUGAGUAACACGUGAGUAACCUGCCCUUAACUCUGGGAUAAGCCUGGGAAACUGGGUCUAAUACCGGAUAGGAGCGUCCACCGCAUGGUGGGUGUUGGAAAGAUUUAUCGGUUUUGGAUGGACUCGCGGCCUAUCAGCUUGUUGGUGAGGUAAUGGCUCACCAAGGCGACGACGGGUAGCCGGCCUGAGAGGGUGACCGGCCACACUGGGACUGAGAUACGGCCCAGACUCCUACGGGAGGCAGCAGUGGGGAAUAUUGCACAAUGGGCGCAAGCCUGAUGCAGCGACGCCGCGUGAGGGAUGACGGCCUUCGGGUUGUAAACCUCUUUCAGUAGGGAAGAAGCGAAAGUGACGGUACCUGCAGAAGAAGCACCGGCUAACUACGUG